UCUACACACGCAGUGACCGCUGUAUCGGUAGCCUUUUAGGUUGUGUCAAUACGGAACGUCAUCUUGCCGCAAUAGAGCGCACGUGUCCAACUAGCAGUUGUAUACCCAGAACUGUAACAGACCAUAACAAUUUAAUCUAGCCCGAAAUUACGAGUAAAUACAAAUAAAGCCAGUGAGGGAGCAGUACCACGCGAGCACUACGAUUUAUAAGGCCCGAGUCAACAGUCACGUGGUUCCGCAAAGUCAAAUUGAGAAGAUUGUUAUUACAUCAUCUCCUGUUAUAAAGUGGUUUACAAGUGAUCCGGGUUACAGCUGCAAAAGCGGUCCGUUGUCUGAAGAUUUGUGACAUCGACCUUCGGAUCUGUAAUCUCCUCGUUUGAGGCCCGCUUCUUUCGCAAACAGCUUGCCCUCAGACGUCUUUACUCGUAUCCGUCCCCGGCUGUUUUUCAGUUGUUAGCAACAAUCUGCAAAGCCCAGCACUGACAUGGGCAAGUCCUAUACCGGCUACACCUCAUUCCCGCUCUGAAACCUUCGGCAUCUUCCGUCUAGUUCCCGGACGCUUUAAUCGGAACCUUUGAAGUCUGAUUGAAAAAGAGGGACGAAGGUAAAAACAGCCUUUACAGUCUGUAGGCUACCACCAGUCGCUACUCCACUAACAAUUACUGCGCCGGGUGGGAUUCGUUAUACUGCCGUAUUCCCCUGUUUACUUUGGCCCGCGACGUAUGAUUCCCCUACCGUUGAUACAGCCCGCCUCGUUUAAUAUUCAUACGAUUCGUGGCGUCACCCGUUUCCACUCUGAAUUUACUAGCGGGUAAAGUUAGAUAAGAAGAGCCAAAAGACAGAUUUCAAACUCUGAUCUAGAAAUGAAGGAUUCGUAAGGCAGAUAACGCCAGCAACUCCGCAAGUUGCAAUAAAGUGACAGAAGUACCCAUACAGAGAGAAUUUAACAUGCACGAUUUACUGCACAAAUGAGACUAGCCCGCUUGGAAAAUGCUUAAUAAUGCGAAAUUAAAUAAAGUAUAUCUUUUUCGCAUUUGGCUAGUUUUAUAAGGACUGGAAUGUGCAAGCGCAACAUCUGCCAUCUAUGGAGAGUC
rnacentral:lncRNA from 1 species